rnacentral:rRNA from 1 species
UACGUAGGUGGCGAGCGUUGUCCGGAAUUACUGGGCGUAAAGGGUGCGUAGGUGGUUUCUUAAGUCAGAGGUGAAAGGCUACGGCUCAACCGUAGUAAGCCUUUGAAACUGGGAAACUUGAGUGCAGGAGAGGAGAGUGGAAUUCCUAGUGUAGCGGUGAAAUGCGUAGAUAUUAGGAGGAACACCAGUUGCGAAGGCGGCUCUCUGGACUGUAACUGACACUGAGGCACGAAAGCGUGGGGAGCAAACAGGAUUAGAUACCCUGGUAGUCCCUGA